CAUUUGAGUCUGGGAUUUCCGAAUGGGGAAACCCAAUACCAUAAGGUAUUACUGUUGAGUGAAUACAUAGCUCAACAGGGCGAACCGGGGGAACUGAAACAUCUAAGUACCUCGAGGAAAAGAAAUCAACCGAGAUUCCGAAAGUAGCGGCGAGCGAAAUUGGACUAGCCCUUAAGCUUUACACGCGUUAGACGAACAGCCUGGAAAGGC
rnacentral:rRNA from 1 species